rnacentral:rRNA from 1 species
GACGAACGCUGGCGGCGUGCUUAACACAUGCAAGUCGAACGGAAAGGCCCUGCUUUUGUGGGGUGCUCGAGUGGCGAACGGGUGAGUAACACGUGAGUAACCUGCCCUUGACUUUGGGAUAACUUCAGGAAACUGGGGCUACUACCGGAUAGGAGCUCCUGCUGCAUGGUGGGGGUUGGAAAGUUUCGGUGGUUGGGGAUGGACUCGCGGCUUAUCAGCUUGUUGGUGGGGUAGUGGCUUACCAAGGCUUUGACGGGUAGCCGGCCUGAGAGGGUGACCGGCGACAUUGGGACUGAGAGACGGACCAGAGUCCUACGGGAGGCAGCAGUGGGGAAUAUUGCACAAUGGGCGGAAGCCUGAGGCAGCAACGCCGCGUGCGGGAUGACGGCCUUCGGGUAGUAAACCGCUUCCGCCUGUGACGAAGCGUGAGUGACGGUAAUGGGUAAAGAAGCACCGGCUAACUACGUG